AGGCAACCUGCCCUCAAGCUUGGGACAACUACCGGAAACGGUAGCUAAUACCGAAUACUUGCUUCCUUCGCCUGAAGGGAGCUGGAAAGACGGAGCAAUCUGUCACUUGAGGAUGGGCCUGCGGCGCAUUAGCUAGUUGGUGAGGUAACGGCUCACCAAGGCGACGAUGCGUAGCCGACCUGAGAGGGUGAUCGGCCACACUGGGACUGAGACACGGCCCAGACUCCUACGGGAGGCAGCAGUAGGGAAUCUUCCGCAAUGGGCGAAAGCCUGACGGAGCAAUGCCGCGUGAGUGAUGAAGGUUUUCGGAUCGUAAAGCUCUGUUGCCAGGGAAGAACGCUUAGGAGAGUAACUGCUCCUGAGGUGACGGUACCUGAGAAGAAAGCCCCGGCUAACUACGUGCCAGCAGCCGCGGUAAUACGUAGGGGGCAAGCGUUGUCCGGAAUUAUUGGGCGUAAAGCGCGCGCAGGCGGUCAUUUAAGUCUGGUGUUUAAUCCCGGGGCUCAACCCCGGAUCGCACUGGAAACUGGAUGACUUGAGUGCAGAAGAGGGGAGUGGAAUUCCACGU
rnacentral:rRNA from 1 species